UGGAAACGACUGCUAAUACCGCAUAAGCCCACGGCUCGGCAUCGAGCAGAGGGAAAAGGAGCAAUCCGCUUUGAGAUGGCCUCGCGUCCGAUUAGCUAGUUGGUGAGGUAACGGCCCACCAAGGCGACGAUCGGUAGCCGGACUGAGAGGUUGAACGGCCACAUUGGGACUGAGACACGGCCCAGACUCCUACGGGAGGCAGCAGUGGGGAAUAUUGCACAAUGGGGGAAACCCUGAUGCAGCGACGCCGCGUGGAGGAAGAAGGUCUUCGGAUUGUAAACUCCUGUUGUUGAGGAAGAUAAUGACGGUACUCAACAAGGAAGUGACGGCUAACUACGUGCCAGCAGCCGCGGUAAAACGUAGGUCACAAGCGUUGUCCGGAAUUACUGGGUGUAAAGGGAGCGCAGGCGGGAGAACAAGUUGGAAGUGAAAUCCAUGGGCUCAACCCAUGAACUGCUUUCAAAACUGUUUUUCUUGAGUAGUGCAGAGGUAGGCGGAAUUCCCGGUGUAGCGGUGGAAUGCGUAGAUAUCGGGAGGAACACCAGUGGCGAAGGCGGCUACUGGGCACCAACUGACGCUGAGGCUCGAAAGUGUGGGUAGCAAACAGGAUUAGAUAC
rnacentral:rRNA from 1 species